rnacentral:lncRNA from 1 species
AGAAGGCGCCGGGGCAAGCGGCCUGUUGGCGCCCAGUUUCAGCUGGCUGUUCCCGCUAGCAUCAGGGCUCGAUCGUAGAGGACGCGGCAGCCGCAGCUCGCGGAGAACAGCGGGCAGAGCUGUGGGCUGCACGCGCCCCUGCAGCCACCGGGCGUCCCGCAGAGGCUCCCGCGCCCUGCGGCGACUUCCGCCCCCGCGCUCCCCUUUGUCCGAGUCCCCAAGCGGCGGCGGCGGGGUAGGAGCCCACGCCGUGGGCGACUGAGGCGGCGGCAGUCCGCGUCCCGGCGCCCUGGAGAUGCCGGACCAGAUCUCCGUGUCGGAAUUCGUGGCCGAGACCCUUGAGGACUACAAGGCGCCCACGGCCUCUAGCUUCACCACGGGCACGGCCCAGUGCCGGAACACCAUGGCGGCCAUCGAGGAGGUUAAGCUGUUCCCCGGAAUGUUUUAACAACAGGGCAUACCCAGGUGAAUUAUACCCUUUUGGGGUUCAGACCUCGCUCAACUGGAGACCUGCCUGUCUGUGCAAAGCCCAGUGCCCCACAUGAAUGGUUUAGUCUCCACUGCCAGCUGCCAUGGGCAAGCAGAACAGCAAACUGGGUCCUGAGGUGCUGCAGGACCUGCGGAAAACAGGGAGUUCACCCACCAUGAGCUUCAGGAGUGGUACAAGGGCUUCCUCAAUGACUGUCCCACUGGCCACCUGACUGUGGACAAUUUCAAGAUCUAGGCCAACUUCUUCCCCUACAGAGAUUCCUCCAAGUUUGCUGAACAUGUCUUCCACACCUUUGACACCAACAGCGACAGCACCAUCGACUUUCAAGAGUUCAUCAUUGCUCUGAUCAUGACCUCUCGGGGCAAGCUGGAACAGAAGCUCAAGUGGGCCUUCAGAAUGUCUGAACUAGACAGCAAUAGCUACUUCAGCUGCAGUGAAAUGCUGGAGAUAGUGCAGGUACCUGCACUUGACAGGGCCUGGAGCAUGGGGAGUGCAGGGACCCAGGACCCCUAUCCCCGACCCCAUACACCAGGUCAUUCCUCUGCCCACUUGCUACCUGCUGUAUUAAAGGACUGGAGGUCUUUGCAGCGAGGAAUGAUAAAAGCCAAGCAUCUAUCGAUUGCUUGCUGGACAUCAGGCCCCAGCUGAGCUCAUCCAUCAGGUUUAUUCACACACUUCUAUAAAACGGGUCUUUUUUUUUUUUAAACAAAACAAAACAAAACAAAACAAAACAAAACAAAACAAAACAAAACAAAACAAAACAAAACAAAACAACCUCUAAUGAGAUCUGAGGCUCAGAUAGGUGAUUAAGAAUUGUCAAAGCAAGAACUGGGAAAAUGGCUCAGUGGGGAAGAACACUUGAUACCUAGCAUGAGGACCUGAGUUCUGAUCCCAACACACACGGAAAAGUCAGGAGUGGCUGAGCUGCCCCAAUCCCUAGAACUAGGGGAUAAAUGAGUCCCAGAAGCUUGCUGAGCAGGCACCCUAGCUAAAAUGGUAAGCCCCGGCCGGGUUCAGUGAGAGAGAAAAGGGAACACUGUGAACACCGGUAUUCCUGUUUGGCCUCUGCACAGGUGGGUGUUCAUCUGCACACAUAUGUAUAACAUACAUACACAUUAGUUGUCUGUAGGGCUUCCUAUAGAAAUCAGAACGACACAGUAAAGGAUGAGUCAGCAGUCAGUUCUUCACAGGAGCGAUGCUUAUGUGCACCCUGCAUCCUUCCUGCUCCAUGCUCUAAACCAUCUCUGUAUUUGGUCCAGUGGGCUGACUCUGUGGGUAAAGGUGCUUGCUACCAAGCCUGGCAGCCUGGGUUCAAUCCCUAAGACCCACAUGGUAGGAAAAGAGAACCAGCUUCCACAAGUUGUCCUCUGAAUUCCAUGUGAGAUCAUCUCCCCCAAAUAAAUAAUUACAUACAUCCAUAAAAUAAGUAAAGUACUUAUAUACAGUGCCUAAUACAACUAUAGAUGUUAAUAAUAAUUUGUAUUAUUUGGGAAAUAACAAGAAACUGUCUGUGU